rnacentral:rRNA from 1 species
CGUCAGGAUGAACGCUAGCUACAGGCUUAACACAUGCAAGUCGAGGGGCAGCAUUGGAGUAGCAAUACGUCAGAUGGCGACCGGCGCACGGGUGAGUAACACGUAUCCAACCUGCCGCUUACUCGGGGAUAGCCUUUCGAAAGAAAGAGUUAAUACCCGAUGGUAUAAAGAGUUCGCAUGUUCUCUUUAUUAAAGAAUUUCGGUAAGCGAUGGGGAUGCGUUCCAUUAGAUAGUUGGCGGGGUAACGGCCCACCAAGUCUACGAUGGAUAGGGUUCUGAGAGGAAGGUCCCCCACAUUGGAACUGAGACACGGUCCAAACUCCUACGGGAGGCAGCAGUGAGGAAUAUUGGUCAAUGGACGAGAGUCUGAACCAGCCAAGUAGACCGUGAAGGAUGACUGCCCUAUGGGUUGUAAACUUCUUUUAUAAGGGAAUAAAGUGAGGGACGUGUCCCUUUUUGUAUGUACCUUAUGAAUAAGGAUCGGCUAACUCCGUGCCAGCAGCGGC